UGUGUGUUCAUUGGGUAUUACGACAAC
rnacentral:piRNA from 1 species